GCGAAAGGGAGCAGAGAGCUUGGAGAGAAACCUCUUGGAUUUGGUGCUAGAUGAUGGAUCAUUCCAUGGUCUCUGCUCAGAAGAAACUAUGUUCCUCUUGGGGCAGUAACAGAGAAGAGUCAUUCACCAGUGAGAGUUUCUCUGAGGAGGAGCAGGACUUUUCAGGAACCUGGAAAGAGAUGAUCAAGUUGGGACAGUUCAAGAUCCAAGGGAAUGUACAGUCCAGAAAACAGCUUCUGAAGCCUUGCUACUUUGACUACUGAAAUCUUAAGGUACCUAGAAGCCAAAGCAGUUGGAGAAAUGUUUGGUUAAACUUCAUCUCCCCUAAAAGAAAUCUGAGUCCCAAAA
rnacentral:lncRNA from 1 species